rnacentral:lncRNA from 1 species
CUGGUGGUGAUGGUGCUCGCGUCCUGCGACGGGAGGGAGCUGAAAGGGAAUGGCGGCGCCGGUGGCGGCGUCGACGAGGUGAAGGAUGUGGUGCCCAGGUUGCCGACGCUGCCGCCUCUGGUACCACUACCCAAACUGCCGCUGCCGCUGCCGCCCGUGGUCCCUGGGAUCCCUCCGGCUGCUCGCGGCUCUGCCGACAGCAAUAAGUCUCCAUGAUGAUGCACCUGCAGCUGAUCAACUUGUCGUCGUCGUAGACUUCUAGCAAGCUAGCACCGGCCGGAAGCAGAACAUCGGUCGGCGUUCCGCUGACGUCCGUGCGCCUUGAUCUGUAGCAAUUAUAUGUCCGCCAUGUUUCCUUUCAGUUCAUGUUCAGGUUCUUGUUCCUACUCUGUCAUCAAUGUAAACCUUGUCAAUGUGCCUUUAUGAAUAAACAUAUGAAUAAUGUACAUCAACGAUGAAGCACAUAGUUUGUUCUGCCAACCAAUUUUUUUUCCAGAAUUGUGGAAUCCGUUUGUACUUCAACAUUAUGCUGGUAUGCACAGAUCAUG